rnacentral:rRNA from 1 species
UACGGAGGGUGCAAGCGUUAUCCGGAUUCACUGGGUUUAAAGGGUGCGUAGGCGGGUAGGUAAGUCAGUGGUGAAAUCUUCGAGCUUAAACUCGGAACUGCCUUUGAUACUAUCUAUCUUGAAUAUUGUGGAGGUAAGCGGAAUAUGUCAUGUAGCGGUGAAAUGCUUAGAUAUGACAUAGAACACCUAAUUGCGAAGGCAGCUUACUACGCAUAUAUUGACGCUGAGGCACGAAAGCGUGGGGAUCAAACAGG